ensembl:snoRNA SNORD42 Small nucleolar RNA SNORD42
GUGCAAAUGAUGGAAAAUACCAUUUCACAGAGAAAAGUGAUGCUAACAAAGGAACCACUGAUGCAC